rnacentral:lncRNA from 1 species
UCGAUAGAUUCCUAAAUCCCAACGCCUUCCAUUCGGCGUGGCUUCCUAAGCGCACUGCCUUCCGCAGCCGAUUGUCAUGCAUUUUUGUGCCGCACUUGUUGUUGUUGUUACAUGGUCGUGGGUGCGUUCCCCGUACCUGCAAACCACCCUAGUACGAGCCGAGGGCUCAAGGGCUGCCAAAUCGCCUAUAAGCACCAUCCUACCUCGCACUUCCAACGAGACAAGUGAUGAAGUAUACUUACGGCCAAAGGGAACAAUAGAGUUGCGGUGAGACCAUAUACAUUCCAGCAUCCUUGCCAGGCGUUCAGGCUCCCACUUCAUAGCGUCCUUCAUGCCGCACUUAGCGGACCGCCGCAGCGGCUUUUCUACAAGCGCACCGCCUUCCGUGGCCGCUGUCUAAAUGCUCCUAAAUCAACGCCUUCAAUUCGGCGUGCCGCCGCGGCGGGCUUCCUAAGCGCACUGCCUUCCGCAGCCGCGUGUCAUGCAUUUGAGCCGCACUUAGCGGACCGCCGCAGCAGCUUUUCUACAAGCACACCGCCUUCCGCGGCCGCUGUCUAAAUGCUCCUAAAUCAACGCCUUCAAUUUGGCGUGCCGCCGCGGCGGGCUUCCUAAGCACACUGCCUUCCGCAGCCGCGUGUCAUGCAUUUGUGCCGCACUUUGCGGACCGCCGCAGCGGCUUUUCUACAAGCGCACCGCCUUCCGCGGCCGCUGUCUAAAUGCUCCUAAAUCAACGCCUUCAAUUCGGCGUGCCGCCGCGGCGGGCUUCCUAAGCGCACUGCCUUCCGCAGCCGCGUGUCAUGCAUUUGAGCCGCACUUAGCGGACCGCCGCAGCAGCUUUUCUACAAGCACACCGCCUUCCGCGGCCGCUGUCUAAAUGCUCCUAAAUCAACGCCUUCAAUUUGGCGUGCCGCCGCGGCGGGCUUCCUAAGCACACUGCCUUCCGCAGCCGCGUGUCAUGCAUUUGUGCCGCACUUAGCGGACCGCCGCAGCGGCUUUUCUACAAGCGCACCGCCUUCCGCGGCCGCUGUCUAU